ACGAUAUGUGCAUGUGCUUGGUGUUGGUGUAUAUAUAAAUAUAAAUGUACAUGUAUAUGUAGCUUUUACUCUUCAGCUGCCCUGCUCUUGUAUGCGCUUUAUUGCAUAACAUCCUUGAACUUGAACCGCACUGAGCUGAGCUUUGGGUCGCCUGGCUGCUCGCCUGGUUCGUGUUUGGCACUGGCUGCGCUCCGGCUGACUCAGCGACACACACACACACACACACACACACACUCACUCACACGCAUGCACUCUGAAAAUACACAUGCAGGCGAGUGCUCCCCCACAGCUGCAGUUGGUGUACGCUAAAAUUUAGACUCUAAAUUCGCCUCAAAGCCGUUCGGCUCAACGACGACGGCGACAAGCAACGACGACGGCGACGGCGACGACGACGACGACGACGUCGACGACAGCGACAGCGACGACAACAUCGAAGGCCUGUGUCUCUGGCACUUUCUGCUGUGCUUGGCAUUGAAAGCGCGACAGGCGAGCAGCGAACAACGUACCAUUCCCAACAGUCCAAAACAGAAAUCAGUGCACAAUGGCGACAGGAGUUGAAUAUAAUAAUCAAAAACAAAAAAAAAACUAAGCUGAAUUUUAAUGUAUAGUAAUUAUAAUUAGACACGCAAAUGAUAUCAACGAUCACAUUAAAUUCAAUUUGACAAACCCAAAAAGUCACAAUAAAAGUUAAAAAAAAAACACAAAACAACAAUAACAAAUUAAUUGUGCAAACACAAAAAAAAAACCUAAAAUUCAUUUGAGAAGUGCGCAAAACUGGUGACUGCUUAAAAAUAACAACAAUAAAUUCCAAUUGUACUUUAACUAUGUGAAAACCCGUGUGAAAAUUGCUGCGAAAGGAGGAAAAACGUUUUCCGCCAUAUGGCUGUCGUUAUUAUAGCAGUGGAACAGCGUCAGCAUUGAAAUUUAAUUAGCGACAGGCGAGUGAGCCAGCUACAACAACAACAACGACAGCAACAACAAAAACAACAACAGCAAUGACAGCACAAACACACGCCUACACACAAUAGAACACAAAAAGGGCCUGCGAAAUAAAAGUAAACACAAAGACAAAAAAGGAAAUAAACCAAAAUAAAUCAUGUGAGCAAAAGAAGAGGAAGGAGCCACAAAAUGUGUUCAGCUUUCGCAUGACGACAGCAAAAAGCAGCCGCAGCAGGAGCAGCGGCAGCGGCAGCGUUAGAGCCAACAAAUGGUAAACAGCAGCACGAACAAUGAAAGUGCACCAGAGACGUUAUCAGCCCCACUCCAUCAACCCAACUGCCGCUGCUGCAACUGGCAUGUGAGUGUGUGUGCGUGUGUGUGCCUGUGCGAGCGAGCGAGCAAACAAAAAUGGCGCAUGACAUGCGCACUGAGCGAGCGGCCAACUUGAACUUGAAAAUGUUUUUAUUGUUGCGCUUGUCCGAAGGCUGUGUUCCAUUUAACUUGACGCGACAGCGACGCCAGCAGCACAGCGAUGCCGGCAACCAAAGUGUGGAGCGCAGAGCGUAUACGAAUUCAACAGAGAGAGGGAGAGAGCGAAAGAGAGCAGCGAGGGCGUAAGCAAGAGCGAGCUGCUAGGCUAAGCUUUGGGACUGCUUGCUAGCAGCAGGUAUGUAUGUUUGUAUGUAUGUCUGUUUGUGUUGUGCAUGUGUUGUGAGAGGUAAAUAAGCCAAUAUGAAAAGAAAAAUAAAAACAAACAAGCAUGCGAGAGCAGGCGAAAGCUUUUUGCAUAGCUUUUGCGUGGGUGACUUAAGGCAGCGCAGUUGCGUCGCUGCCGACGUCUGCCAACUGUUUGCUUUUGUUGUAUGCCCAAAGCCAGCUGCCCGACACUUUCUCUUUCGCUGCGUACAUCAAUGUGUAUGUGUGUGUGUAUGUAUUUGUGUGUGUAAAUAAUGCUGUUGCAUAUUUACUGGGAUACGAUGACGCGCACCUGUGCGAACACAACUGCAGCCGACAGGAUGCUGCUGCUUCUUCUUCUACACGCUAGCUUCCCAGCUGCCAGCCAGGCGCAAAGUUUUUCAGUGUAGAGCGCACUCCCGGCGAGGUCAGGCAGCUUCUAACAGAGCAGCAUUGCUAUACUUGUAAUAGAAAAAAAAACACAUUUCAUAUAUAUGUAUGUAUGUGUCAGGUUGCCAUAUAAGUGCGCGUUGCCCGAAAAAAGGAAACAAUAUCAAAAUAUAAUCAGGUGUGGAAAAUUGAUUAGUUGCUUAAAAUACAAGUGUGUGUGUGUGUAAAAGUUUAUGUACUGUGUCAUGUGACGCAAAUUGUUAUUUUCAUUCUCGACCAACAUAUGGACAUUAAAUUUUAAGGAAUAUAUGUAGUGCACACAAACCACACACACACACAGACACACAAUUGCCUUAUUACAAUGCGCCUUGGCAUAUGCAACAUAUUUGUUGUCUUGUGUUUAUUACGCUUUUGACCUUUUCACACACACACACACUCUCACAGAACAAGAUGCGUAAGCAGCGUUGAGUUAUUUUCAUAUGCAUAUAUAUAUAUAUAUAUAUAUAUAUGUUUACAGUUAAAUAGCUGCAUGUGUAUGCCAUAUAUAGGCAUUUAUCGAUGCGACUUUGUCUGAGGGCAGCUGGCAAAUUGUAGAGCAUUAAAAAUAAAUAUGGAAAAGAACUUUCAGCCAAAGCAAACUCAAUAAAUGAUUUGGAAAUAUGUUGAAAAUUCAAACAAAUUUACAGUAAAAGCUCUCGCAGAUGUUCGCUUUGUAAAUGUGAGUGAGGUUAGGUUCGAUUAACAAAUAGAAGAAAAAAAUACAAAAAUAAGUUUCUAAAAACCUUACUAUUUGGAAUGGAAAGUAUUACAAAUUUGGGAUUGUUUCAAUAUCUCUUGCCGCCAUUUUGUUUUUAUAUCCUAUUUCCGUAUAUUUCAGACCGCUAAAAAGUUAUUUGUACGCUUGUGUCCGCUAACGCUCAAAAUAUCCUUCUCCCAAUAGAGUUUAUAUUUCGCAAAUAAAAAAAGUUGCCCUGCUAAAGGAUAUGUCCGUCACAGGCUGCUGUCCUUAAGCUACGUUUUUACUGUACAAAUUGGGCAUAUUAUAAAUAUAAAUAUGCGUCAAUCGAUGUGACUUAGCUCAAGGGCAGCUGGCAAAUUGUAGAGCUGAGAGAUUUAAAAUAGAUUUGAUAAAUAAAUCCAUAAAUAGUAUAGAUUAUCAUAUAAAUAUAAAUAAAAGUAACAUUAAACAGCUUGAAUAAUAAUAUUGCAUAUAUGUAAAACAAACAUUUACCAAGGUCAAGAAAUCUGAGUAUGUGUUAGUGUGAAAAAUUACGAUAAAUUAUUAAAUUUAUUUACAACAAAUGAUAUAUAAA